UGUCAAAGUUCAUUUAAAUUUACUAACAAAACAUAAUGGCUUGUGAACUAAACAAACACCUAAAAUGUAACAAAACUAGAGUUUGACUUAUGGUUUUUCUUCUUAACUACCUUCCAGAAAUGCGUGUGAACUUCAAACGAAAAUUUUUCAAAAUUACUCGCUUGGUUUUCCAUAAAAAAUGCUUCUUUGUGGUCUUAAUUGUCUGCAGUCUUUCGAUGAUUUCUCUGUUCUACCUCUUACAAUGGAAUAUAAUAUGCUUGAAUAUCGAUAUUGAAAAUCGUUUAAACAUUCUGUGCAAUGAGUACAGUCAAGGAAAGGCCUUUGGCAGACUAUGUGAGCCACUAUGCAACAAUGGAGAAAUCUCUGCACUAUCCUGUGAAUCAAUGCACAAAGGAAAAUUUGCUGUUUUCACUGCCCUGUGGAAUAACUCGCUUAUUGUUAUCAAAUCACACAGAAUAAAGUCAGAGUACAUACCACUUCAAUGGACAAAUUCAAACUCCAGUGAAGUCUAUCCCAACUACCAGGAGCUUGUUGAGAUGGUAACACAGUCUAUGCUGGUGAACUUUGGAAUCCAGAAGGAAAACCUCAUGGACCAUCUUUAUCCAUUCCUUGGUGACUACAAACAUGAAGUUAAUAGAGAACUUAUGAUUAACUUAUGGCAACUGUCACAGGACAAUGAAUAUGUCACCCUUAUGAUCAAUCAGCAUUCCCAUUUAUUCCCUAAAAUCCUAUCUAGUUGCGGUACUUUUUAUGCCGUUGAAUACGCCAAACCGAUCUCUAGAUUAAAUAUUUAUUCCGACCGCCCAGAGGAUUUUUAUGCCAGGAUUCACCAGGCAAAAUUGAUGCUUGAGCUACUUGAUGACCUUCACACAACAUUUCCUGAUCCUGUUCAUGUCUGUGACGUCAAAUUGGAGCACUUUGGUCUUUUAAACGGUCGGCAGGUGCUAUUGGAUGCUGAUACUGUUUUCCCAAAGACCGUAGUCGACCGAUCCGUUGGAGAUGGUCGUGAAUGCCGUAAACAUUCCGAUUGCGAUCUCUUUGAUUGUCGCUCCCUAUGCAACAAAGUGCUCCAUGUUUGCGAUACGCCGACUGUCAAUAAUAACUUGCAGAUAGUGUGCCAGAAAGUCUUUUUAGAUUCUGGCUUGCUCAUCUCCCGACAUCUUCCGUCAGAUAUGAAUCGGCUAUUAAAAGAAUGCGCUAAUCCCUACCUUUCCCAGGGAAGACAGGCUGCUUCCGUCCAAUUCCAUUACGAACUGGCAAAUUUUUUCAACGAGUUCCUUAGAAUGGUGGCACAUCCGGAAAAUACGGUUGUGUAGAUCCAUAAUUUCAGUCAUUUUUUUCCGUUCUCGUACUGUUUUGUGAUCGUUAAUAUAAUGUUAAUUUACUUAGUCUUAUUUAAAUCAACGAAUAGUGCAAUACACUUCAUUCAUCACCGUCAUUUACACUUUUUCAACUUGUAAAUAUAUUUGACAACGGUGCUCAGGUUGCAGACAUUGGUUGGUGGACGAUGUUUGUUUUUUUUAAAUGUUGAGAAAUGUCAAAAUUUAGCUCAGACGAAAGGAAACGUAAACUAGCUCUUGCUCUAGCUAUUUUAGAAUCAUCAGAAUCAUCUGAUUCUUCAGAUGAAGAGAUGUUGAAGAUGCUCUUAAAGGAAAAAGUGCUGCGCCCGAAACACAAAAAACGACGAAGUUUGAUACACUCCUACGCUGAAGAUGACUUUCGUAGAGAAUUUCGUAUGAGACGAGAAACAUGUUCUCAGAUUAUAUCAGACUUUGAGAAAUCACAGUAUUAUCCCAAAAAUGAUUCACAUGGUGGAACUCCAAAGUCAUCAGCAGAAAACCAUGUACUAUCUUUUUUAAAAUUUGCAGGAAAUAAAACUUGUAUAAGAGAUGUUGCAGCAAAAUUUUCCAUUGGAGAAUCAACUUUUCACAGGCAGUGUGCACGUGUGAUGGACUACCUUAAUGACAUUGCUCCAACCAUCAUAAAAUUUCCUGAUAGUAAAGAGAAAAAGGCAGCAAUAGCACAACAGUUUGAACAAAUUGCUGGAUUCCCUGGAAUAUUGGGUUGUAUUCAUAGCACUUACAUUCCCAUUAGAGCUCCAGCCAACAAAAAUAAGUUCAUUUACCUCAACCAUCAACAGCAAAUUUCUAUUACUCUACAAGGUAUUUCCGACCCUAAUGGAGCAUUUCUCGAUGUUUUCACCGGUCCACCAAGCAAAAUUCACGAUGCGCGUGUCUACAAGUUGUCAUUCGUCUACAAAAGGCUUCCCGACCUUUGUUCUGGUGAUCUCCAUUUAGUUGGAGGCGAAGCCUUUCCAUUAUCAAAUCAUUUGCUGACACCAUACCGAAAACAGAAUGGCCAGUCAGUUAUCAACUAUAAUAAUAGUUUGCAUUUAUCUCGACAACCGGUUGAAAAAGCAAUACGUCUUCUAAAGCAACGAUUCAGACAACUGAGCCGCCUCGAUUUUCAUCAAGUUGAUACUACCGCAAAAUUUAUGAUCUCAUGUUGCGUCUUGCACAAUCUUUGCACUUCCGCUGAUGACACUUUGAUUGAUGAUGGCGAUCUCCAGACGGAACCAUUUGAAAGUGAAACGGCAAAUCAUAUCAACGCUCAUCUACAUUCCGAAUUCUCCGAGCCCAUUGAGCAAAGUCCAGAAGAAUUGCAAUCUCAGCAAAUGGGUGAGUUAAAGCGUAAUCGGAUUUCAACGGACUUGUGGACAAAGCUGAAUUUGUAACCAUCCUAACUGAAAUAUAAAUUUUAAAAAUCA